rnacentral:rRNA from 1 species
GCCCUUUUCCGGUUGAUCCUGCCGGAGGCCACUGCUAUUGGGGUUCGAUUAAGCCAUGCGAGUCGAGAGGUGUAAGACCUCGGCAUACUGCUCAGUAACACGUGGAUAAUCUACCCUAUGGUGGGGGAUAACCCCGGGAAACUGGGGAUAAUACCCCAUAGACUAUGGAUGCUGGAAUGCUCUGUAGCCGAAAGGUCCGCCGCCAUAGGAUGAGUCUGCGGCCGAUUAGGUUGUUGUUGGGGUAACGGCCCAACGAGCCUGUAAUCGGUACGGGUUGUGCGAGCAAGAGCCCGGAUAUGGAUUCUGCGACACGAAUCCAGGCCCUACGGGGUGCAGCAGGCGCGAAAACUUUGCAAUGCGAGAAAUCGUGACAAGGGAACUCCGAGUGCCCGUAAAUUCGGGCUGUCCAUCUGUUUAAAAAACAGGUGAAGAAAGGGCCGGGCAAGACCGGUGCCAGCCGCCGCGGUAAUACCAGCAGCCCAAGUGGUGGUCGCGUUUAUUGGGUUAAAGCGCUCGUAGCCGGGCUUGCAAGUCCCUUGUGAAAUCGGACGGCUGAACCGAUCGGCGUGCAAGGGAUACUGCUAGCCUUGGGAUCGGGAGAGGUCGGGGGUACUUCAGGGGUAGCGGUGAAAUGCUGUAAUCCCUGGAGGACCACCAGUGGCGAAGGCGCCCGACCAUAACGGAUCCGACGGUGAGGGGCGAAGGCUAGGGGAGCGAACGGGAUUAGAUACCCGGGUAGUCCCAGCUGUAAACGAUGCGCGUUAGGUGUAUCGGUGACCACGAGUCACCGAGGUGCCGAAGAGAAAUCGUGAAACGUGUCGCCUGGGAAGUACGGCCGCAAGGCUGAAACUUAAAGGAAUUGGCGGG